ACAAACCCACCCUAAACUUCUCUAUUCCACGCCGCCACCCCCUUUUACUCGAAACAAACCCUAAUUAUUAUGAGUUUUUGUUAUAUGGAGCUGGCUAAAAGAUAUUAUGACCAAAUAAGGCAGAAUUGGGUGAAUAUUCAAAGAAGAAGAUGAAGAUUAUAGAUGAAUAAAUAAGCACUUUAAAGAAGCCCUAGACUCUUUCACAGAAUUAACUAAUUACAAUAUUCUUCUUCUUUCUUCUUUCUCCCAGUUGUUGCAUCCCUUCUUAAAUAAUCCAUUCUGUUUGCAUUGAGAAUAUGCUAACAGAAUUUGUACACCUGAUUUGAUCCCUUCUAGAAUACCCCAUUUCCUACGACUCCUAGAUUCCUUCUAUAAUAUCCCAAUUACAUCAGAAAUUAGUAUGUGCCCAGAAGCCCAUUAGAUAAAAGGCCAUAUCCCUUACACUAAUUCUCUUCAUCGCAGCUUCUUCCUAAAUCUUUCGGGUUCCUUCAUCAAAAAUACUCCCAUCUCCAUGGACGGACCCCCCGUCGCGGCGACGAUGCCAUUGCCUCCGUGGCAGUCUCCAAGAUCAAUUUCAAUUGAUGUUUCAUCAACCCAUUAUCCAUGUCGUCUUCGCCCUGAUUUCUUCUCUCCUCGUUCUUACAACUUCGUCUUCUGUGUGCCUGUGCCUGUGCCUGUGCCUGUGCCUGUGAAAUAUGGAAAUGAUGAUGAUGAUGAUGAUGAUGAUGAUGAAGAAGAAGAACAUGAUGAUGAACAUGAACAUCACCAUGAAGAUGAAGAUAAAGAUGAUAGGAAGUAUACGAAGUGGUUUACAAUCAGUAUUCGUGCCGACGGUCCUUGCGAGGUCUACACAGAGGAAAAACCGCUCACUUCGUUUUCGGACGCCAAACUUCACGUGGUCGAGGGCUUUGCAGCCCUAGGCUCCCACGUCUACGCUUUUGAUGGUGGGCAGGCGAUUCCAUUCUGUCCAUCCGACGUCUGCAAAUUGGACGUUACCGGCCGUGGUGCUUACGGCUUCGACUCUGUUUCUUCGAUGAUUGCUCCCAAAUUCUGCUCGCACAGUUUUGUUCUAGACGGGAAGAUUUAUGUUUUUUCUACUCGCCAAAUGAAUAUGCCGCCUACCGCCCACUGGGGUGAGGUUUUUGAUCCCCAUAAUGGAAAAUGGGAAGCCUUACCUGAUCCUCCAUAUGAUUCGAGCUUUACAAUCAUUUCUGCAGCUCUUGAGAAUCCAAACAGGAUUCUUGUGGCUUUCCAUGUUUCGGAUACAUGGUAUACUGCAAUGUUUUAUGCAUACAAUGUGCAGCAUCGAUCUUGGGAAGUGCUUGCUCCUGCUCAGCGCAAUAUCCACCCUCAUUACCCUAAAGGGUCUACUCAAAGGACGGUGACCGUACAUAAUACUUUAUACUGGUUCACUCUUGUAAAUGAUGAGGUAUUCUUGAUUGCCUAUAAUUUAGACUUGGAUAUGUGGCUAGAAGGGAGUCUUAAGGAUUUCGGAAUUUUCUAUGACACACCAAUUUGUCUUUUCCAUUUAGACAAGCAGAGGUUCUGCCUCUUACAAACGUUAACGGGUGAAAUCACACCCGAUGGAAAUAUUCCAUGGGAUGCUGAUCUUUACUGCAUUGUAGUUGAUGUUUCCCAUAUGCCCGGGGAGAACAGAUUAGGCAUAUCGCUUGCUUGGAAACAAAUGUUUAAGGUGGAUUGUCCCUAUCCGUUUUCAGAUUGCCUUUUACUGCCUGAAAUCAAGCAAGAGGAACUGCGAGGAGCAAAUUAUUAAGGCUUAAUAGAUUAUGGUCUAUUAUAUUAGGGGUAAGUAGAUUCAGUGAAGAAAUCAAGUAAGAAGGAAGUGAGUGGACUGUGGAGCAAAGAGAAUGUUUUUGGAUGACUGCAAAGAGAAUUACGACACUCUUGAGAAUCCAAACAGGAUUCUUGUGGCUUUCUGUGUUUCGGGUAAACCCGGUUCUGCAAUGUUUUAUACAUAUAAUGUGCAGCAUCGAUCUUGGGAGAUGCUUGCGCCUGCUGAACGCGAGCUCCACCCUGAGUACCCUGUAGGGUUUAAUCGAAGGGCGGUAACUGUACACAAUACUUUAUACUGGGUCAUUCGCGCUUACAGACGUGAAGAGAUAACCUUGCUUGCCUAUGAUUUAGACUUGGAUAUGUGGCUAGAAGGGCGUCUCAAGGGUCUAGGAAUUUUGUUGUUUGAAGAUGAUAAAUCCUGUUUCACACUGCCUUUUCUUUUCCAUUUAGAGAAGCAGAGGUUCUGCCUUUUACAAACUUAUGGUGAUCUUCACUGCGUUGCAGUCGAUAUUUAUCAUAUGCCCGGGGAAAAUAGAUUGGGCAUAUCGCUUGCGUGGGAACGAAAACAUAAGAUUGAUGGCCCCGGUGAAAUAUCAGAUUGCCUUUUACUGCCUGAAAUCGAGCAAGGGGAACUUCCAGGAGCAAAUUAAGGCUUAAUAGAUUAUGGUCUAUUAUAUUAGUUUCUGUGUAGCAGCUUUUGGUGUUGGUGUUGGUGCUGGUGCUAAGAUCGACCCUUGUUAGAAAGAGUAAGAAACGGCGCCGCAUCAGGAAAUUCUGAUGAGUGAUUUCACCGGCAGUCGUGAGAGGAUAUGAUGAGAACCUCGUUUGGGAUACAGUCUGACAUCUUGGAUCGGCGCUUCAGUUUUUUGCAUCUUGGUUCUUGCUUAACGAAGACGAGAGAGAAUAAAAGAAAUGAAUAAAAAAUUUUAAAGUAAAAGAAAAAAAAUAAUAUUUUAAUGCUAUAGUAAAAUGCAGUUUUAUUUUUUAUAUUUAAGAAAAAUGUUUGAAAAGUGAAAAUUUUCAAUUAAGAAGUAAAAGGUAGUUUUAUUUUAUAUAUUUAAGAUAAAUGUUUGAAAAGUUGGUGUGAAUGCCCUACGAAUUGAAUGGGGGUGCUUUAUGCAAUUUUAUCUCUUAUGUGUUCAUGUAACCUUGUUUGUUGGGGCUUGAGAAACGUGAUGUGAUCCGGAAUGUUAAUAGCCGGUCAAUGUUGGUGUUCUUUGUUGAAUCUA